AUAACUGUAACACAGCUCAGCAGGAGGUUUUGCAGGGGGGGCUUCAAAAUUCAGUUACAGUCGCCAGAGGCUGAGGCAGAGGAUCUGUGGCUGAUGUAUAAUCUUAGAAAUAACCCUUACCACCAGGCGCAGUGGUCCACGCCUGUAACCCCAGCACUUUGGGAGGCCGAGGUGGGCAGAUCACCUGAGGUCGGGACUUUGAGACCAGCCUGGCCAACAUGGAGAAACCCCAUCUCUACUAAAAAUACAAAAAAAAAAAAAAAAUUAGCUGGACGUGGUGGCGCAUGCCUGUAAUCCCAGCUACUCAGGAGGCUGAGGCAGGAGAAUCGCUUGAACCCAGUGGCAAGCCGAGAUCGGGCCAUUGCACUCCAGCCUGGGCAACAAGAACGAAACUCUGUCUCAAAAACAAACAAGCAAACAAACAAAAAACCCUUACACCAGCAUUAUCUUCACUCUAAAAAACAAACACACAGAAAAACUUGAUGGCUCUCCUUGACUUCUUUUAUAAUAAAUGAUAUUUUUGCUGGUUUAUUUUUAAUUGUAUUCAACUGCCUGAGGCUGUAAGCAAUAAGCAGUGUGAUUUUCUGGUAGAAAAAUAACCAAGCAUUUAGGAAGCUUCCAGUUGACAGCCUCUGGCCUCUCAACUUUGCUGAAGCUCUUCAACAGUAUCGACUUUCCAUUGUGAACUCUUUUUUUUUGAGACAGAGUCUCCUCUGUCGCCCAGGCUGGAAUGCAGUGACAAGAUCUCGGCUCACUACAACCUCUGCCUCCCAGGUUCAAGUGAUUCUCCUGCCUCAGCCUCCUGAGUAGCUGGGAUUACAGGCACACGCCACCACACCUGGAUAACUUUUGUAUCUUUAGUAGAGACAGGGUUUCACCAUAUUGGCCAGGCUGGUCUUGAACUCCUGACCUUGUGAUCUGCCCACCUUGGCCUACCAAAGUGCUGGGAUUACAGGCAUGAGCGUUUUCUUU
rnacentral:lncRNA from 1 species